rnacentral:rRNA from 1 species
ACCGUACCUCGGGAGCCUAUACAGGUGUUGCAUGGCUGUCGUCAGCUCGUGUCGUGAGAUGUUCGGUUAAGUCCGCUAACGAGCGCAACCCUUGUCUUUAGUUGCCAUCAUUAAGUUGGGCACUCUAAAGAGACUGCUGGUGUCAAACCGGAGGAAGGUGGGGAUGACGUCAAGUCCUCAUGGCCUUUAUGACCAGGGCUACACACGUACUACAAUGGCAGGUACAAAGGGCAGCCACUUAGCGAUAAGGCGCGAAUCCCGUAAAACCUGUCUCAGUCCGGAUUGGAGUCUGCAACUCGACUCCAUGAAGUUGGAAUCGCUAGUAAUCGCAGAUCAGCACGCUGCGGUGAAUACGGUUCCCGGGCCUU